rnacentral:piRNA from 1 species
CACAUAUUCAGGUGAUGUCAUGUGAAAU